rnacentral:lncRNA from 1 species
CCAACAUUUCAUUUUCUAUCACACAUAAGUGAAUUCCCUCUUUAGAACCUAAACAGCUGUGCAACUGACACAUCUGGAAUUCUGGGGAACCUUAGAAUAUAUAGCUCUUCUUGAUGGGGGCAUGAACUUUAUUAAACCAAGUCACUUGUGCUUUCAGGAAGCCAUCAUUGCAAUUCCACUUGCUCCUCUGGGAAAACUGAGGCUCUCUGUGUGCUCGCUGCCACUUCAAGCUGGAGUGCGUUUCUGCCUGAAGUGAUUACAUUAUUCUUUCCCUCAAUGACAUCUGGGAGAAAUGGACGUGCCUUCCGUCUCUGCUGCUGCCUGGGCUCAAAGGCCUCUGGAAUAAUGAAGACCUGAGUCUGAUCCCCAGCAUCUAUGAAAAAGACUGGGUGUUGUAGUUUGUGCUGGUUAUCCUGGUCCUGGGGGAGAGGGAGACUGUCUUCCCUGGAGCCAUCUGGCAAGUCAGUCUAGCUGAGUUAGUGAUCUCCAGGUGCCACAGAAGACAAGGUGGGACAAUAACAAGCCUUCAUCCAGCAGCUGGUGGAAGUAGAAGCAGACACCACAGCUAAUCACUGAACUGAACUGGAAUCCAGUUGCAGAGAAGGACGAGUGAAGAGCAAAGGGGUCCAGACCAGGCUGGUGAAACCCACAGAAACAGCUGACCUGAACAACGGGGAGCUCUUGGUUCCCAGACUGAUAGCUGGAAAACCAGCAUGGGUCUGAUCCAGAACCCAGGAACAUGGGUUUCAGUGAGGACACCUCGGAAAUCUACGGGACCUUCUGUAGUAGUUCAGUACUUUAUCCCUAGCAUAGGUGUGGACUUUGGGAGCCCAUUCCACAUAGAGGAUGCUCCCUGAGCCAAGACACAUGGGGGUGGGCCUAGGCCCUAUCCUAAAGGAUGGGAGGCCUCACCCUCCCUGGAGAGCAGAAAGCAUAUGUGAUAGUUAGGGUCUUAGUUGG